GUCCACGCUGUAAACGAUGAGAGCUAGUUGUCGGCACGCAUGCGUGUCGGUGACGCAGCUAACGCAUUAAGCUCUCCGCCUGGGGAGUACGGCCGCAAGGUUAAAACUCAAAGAAAUUGACGGGGGCCCCGCACAAGCGGUGGAGCAUGUGGUUUAAUUCGAAGCAACGCGAAGAACCUUACCCACGUUUGACAUGCCCGGUUUGGUCGACAGAGAUGUCUUCCUUCAUUUAGUUGGCCGGUGCACAGGUGCUGCAUGGCUGUCGU
rnacentral:rRNA from 1 species